rnacentral:rRNA from 1 species
GAUGAACGCUGGCGGCGUGCCUAAUACAUGCAAGUCGAGCGACCGGACGAGAAGCUUGCUUCUCUGAUGUUAGCGGCGGACGGGUGAGUAACACGUGGAUAACCUACCUAUAAGACUGGGAUAACUUCGGGAAACCGUAGCUAAUACCGGAUAAUAUUUUGAACCGCAUAGUUCAAAAGUGAAAGACGGUCUUGCUGUCACUUAUAGAUGGAUCCGCGCUGCAUUAGCUAGUUGGUAAGGUAACGGCUUACCAAGGCAACGAUGCAUAGCCGACCUGAGAGGGUGAUCGGCCACACUGGAACUGAGACACGGUCCAGACUCCUACGGGAGGCAGCAGUAGGGAAUCUUCCACAAUGGGCGAAAGCCUGACGGAGCAACGCCGCGUGAGUGAUGAAGGUCUUCGGAUCGUAAAACUCUGUUAUUAGGGAAGAACAGAUGUGUAAGUAACUGUGCACAUCUUGACGGUACCUAAUCAGAAAGCCACGGCUAACUACGUG